GACUCUGCGGGCUCUCCCGCUGAACAGGAGCGAGAGCGCGAAAGAGGGGGAAACGGGAAAAAAAUCCCCCCGCCCGUGCCUGGCGCGGCGGCGGCCGGGGCGGUGCGGAGAGGAGCGCGGAGGCGCCGCCGCCGCCGCCACGGGGCACCAUCCCCGGCUCGGCCUCACGGUGGCGGUGCGGGCGCGGCGGGGACACCGAGCAAGAGACCGGGUCUGCGCCCGCCGCGAUCCCUGCGCACCACGGCCCUGCCCGCCACGGGGCGAGCCCGAUAAGAGGGCUGUGGACGUUCGGGUCUAGUUGGGAGAGACAGGGGUCCCUGACUCUUGAGCGGUCAGUCAUUUCCUCCCCAGUCCUUGUGCCUGCACGACUCCCAGAAAGUCGCGUCUCCCCUAACCCCCAUGCCCAGGACCUGAGGACAAAGGUCUAGCGAUUGUCCAUCCCCUCCCCCAGUGAGGACAGCCGGGAAAGACCUGCCUUUGUUGUGUACAGGUGGUAUCUCACUGUGUUAUCCAGACUGGACUCAAAUUUCUGGGCUCCAAUGGUCCUCUCACCUCAGCCUCCCAAGUAGUCAGGACUACAGAACUCCAUGGCAAUGUUUUGAGGAUUAAAGAGGAGAGUGAUGACUAUCCAAACGUCAGAGAACGCAACUAUGAGACUAGAGACACUGGAAAACUAAAAAAGUAACGGGCCUUUGCUGACUCAGGGAGAUGAUUUCCCAAGAGGGAAGAAAACUGGAACCUGAGAAAUAAGUGAUUUAGUAAUGUGGCUGCUAAAAUACGGAAAAACUAGAAUGAAUGGCUUACACAUUUUUGAAAUGAAGUUAGAAGAGGGUUAUACUGUGAAGAAGAAUGAAAAAGCCAAACAUUUCAUUCAGCUUUUUGGAAUGUUAG
rnacentral:lncRNA from 10 species